CCGAGUUUACAACUCCCAAACCCAAUGUGAACCAUACCAAACUGUUGCCUCGGCGGGGUCACGCCCCGGGUGCGUCGCAGCCCCGGAACCAGGCGCCCGCCGGAGGGACCAACCAAACUCUUUUCUGUAGUCCCCUCGCGGACGUUAUUUCUUACAGCUCUGAGCAAAAAUUCAAAAUGAAUCAAAACUUUCAACAACGGAUCUCUUGGUUCUGGCAUCGAUGAAGAACGCAGCGAAAUGCGAUAAGUAAUGUGAAUUGCAGAAUUCAGUGAAUCAUCGAAUCUUUGAACGCACAUUGCGCCCGCCAGUAUUCUGGCGGGCAUGCCUGUCCGAGCGUCAUUUCAACCCUCGAACCCCUCCGGGGGGUCGGCGUUGGGGACCUCGGGAGCCCCUAAGACGGGAUCCCGGCCCCGAAAUACAGUGGCGGUCUCGCCGCAGCCUCUCCUGCGCAGUAGUUUGCACAACUCGCACCGGGAGCGCGGCGCGUCCACGUCCGUAAAACACCCAACUUCUGAAAUGUGACCUCGGAUCAGGUAGAUGCCCCAGC
rnacentral:rRNA from 1 species